GCCAUCUUAGCUCAGCUGGUAGAGCGUAUGGCUUUUAACCAUGUGGUCGUGGGUUCCUUUCCCACAGAUGGUG